rnacentral:misc_RNA from 1 species
UACGUAGGUGGCAAGCGUUGUCCGGAAUUCUUGGGCGUAAAGCGCGCGCAGGCGGCCUCUUGAGUCUGAUGUGAAAGCCCACGGCUCAACCGGGGAGGGCCAUUGGAAGCUGGGAGGCUUGAGUAUAGGCGAGAAGAGUGGAAUUCCACGUGUAGCGGUGAAAUGCGUAGGGAGGUGGAGGAACACCAUUGGCGAAGGCGACUCUUUGGCCUAUAACUGACGCUGAGGCGCGAAAGCGUGGGGAGCAAACAGG